ACGGGAGGCAGCAGUGAGGAAUAUUGGUCAAUGGACGGAAGUCUGAACCAGCCAAGUCGCGUGAAGGAUGAAGGUAUUAUGUAUUGUAAACUUCUUUAGCAGUGGAGUAAUAAGGGGAUCGCGAUCCCUGAUGCAAGUACACUGAGAAUAAGGAUCGGCUAACUCCGUGCCAGCAGCCGCGGUAAUACGGAGGAUCCGAGCGUUAUCCGGAUUUAUUGGGUUUAAAGGGAGCGUAGGCCGUGCUUUAAGCGUGUUGUGAAAUGUAGGCGCCCAACGUCUGCACUGCAGCGCGAACUGGAGCACUUGAGUACGCAGGAAGUAGGCGGAAUUCGUCGUGUAGCGGUGAAAUGCUUAGAUAUGACGAAGAACUCCGAUUGGGAAGCCAGCUUACUGUAGCGCCACUGACGCUGAUGCUCGAAAGCGUGGGUAUCGAACAGGAUUAGAUACCCUGGUA
rnacentral:rRNA from 1 species